UGAGUUCGCCGGACGGCCGCGGGUUUCGACCCGAGGAAAGUCCGGACUCCACAGGGCAGGGUGCUGGGUAACGCCCAGGCGGGGUGACCCGACGGAAAGUGCCACAGAGAACAGACCGCCGAUGGCCUUCGGGCACAGGUAAGGGUGAAACGGUGGUGUAAGAGACCACCAGCGUCCCGGGUGACCGG
rnacentral:RNase_P_RNA from 1 species